AGCAGCCGUCUGGCCCGGAGGUCCCUGAGCCGCUAUGGCCCGGGUGCCCCCCUUGAACCCAAGCCAGCCAGGGUGGGAGACGGGGGUCUUCCGGAGCAGGAAGCAGGGCCGAGUCCCUCCUAGCCUGAGCAUCUGCUCCGUGGGGGCGGUCCCUUAAGACGCCAUCUGGGGCCCUGGGACCUGUGCCACAGCCCAUGCUGAGAACAAGAUCACUUCGAGAAUCCUCAGGGCUCAGGGACUGAACGAGGGCUUGCCAGGAAGAAAGGCACGUCCCCAACCAAGGCAGGUGGCGUUUAUUCACUCAACAAACACAUGGUGCCUCGGGCUGUUUCACAAGAGCCUUCCCAGAAACAACUGAGAAUUCCACACCCCUGAAAGCCCAGGGGACGGGACAGACAGCAGAGGGCAGUGCUGACGGGCAGGACCCUAGGGGCAGCCAGGCCUUAGGAAGGCAAGAGGGCAGGCCCACAGCUUAGACGACCACUGUCCUGGCACCGACCUGAGCCAAGUGAGGUGCCCGGGAUGCAGGCACCACCCACAGUGGUCUCAGGGCUGCCAAGGGCUGGCACAGGUGCCGGCCCCAUUGGAAAUGGGCCCUGGGCACCAGGCUUGCGGGCAUGUGCUCGGUGUCUCCUCCACCCCCACCCCCCCAGCUGCUCCCAGCACACGGGGCCUCGUGGCACCCUCCUGUCCACGUCACCUGAUCUCGGGCAUCACCCAGGGGAGCAAGCACACACCAGGAACCCUGGCUGGGGGGGGGGCAGGGUGGCAUCCCCGUGUAGCUGGCCCCUAGCAGCAGCCUAUAGCUGGGCAUCACCCUGGCAGCCAGCAGGUGACCUUCAGUAUGGAGUCGGCCAGGAGGAUAAGGGCUGGGAAGUGCAACACAGGCUGCUGUACCUGGCAGGCUUCUAGGUAACCACCUGCCUGUCACCCCAUUAUUAACAAGGGUCCACUGCGAGGGCUGCAGGUCUCAGUGCUUCCAGUUCACUGGGCGCCGGGCCAGGCCAUGAGGGUGGCCCGUGAGUCCCAGGGAGCUGUUCAGGUUGAGGGGCUGCUGGGUGCAGAGCUGAGCAUCUGGGUUCCCCGGCUCUCUGUGCAGGGUCCGCUCAACCCCAAGGGUCUGCCCAGCUGCCCUCUACUCUCAGCUUCUCCCAUGCCACUUAGAUGCCACCCACCUCUCCUCUCCUCUCUCACCGGCCCAGAAGGCUUGCACUUCUUCAAAGCCCAGUUUAAAUCUUCUCUCUUCCUAGAGGCUUUCCCAGCCCCACCUCUGGAGUUUGUCUCUGGCCCUUGCUGGCAGCAGUUGCACCACUGGGGCCUUGAGUAAUGGGGGAUGUAGGGUACAGCUCCCCAGUUUGGCAGCUCCCUGGGGACACUCGGUGACUGCUGGAGUCCCAGGCUCCCUUCCCCAGCCCAGCAAGGACCAGGACUCUGUCUCAGCAAGGAUAGUUCCCAGCCCCAGGCAGUGUUGGGUCCUCCCCAGCUCUGCUGAUCCAGUGCAGGACAGAGAGAAAGAAAGCAGCCCCAUCUCGUCACUGCUGCCCCUCCAAAGGUGCCAGGAGGCCCUGAAAGCCAUCCGCCAAGGGCAGCCAAGGUCACCGGGGAAAGGGGGAAGCGGGAAAGGGUUAAGGCCUGCCUGGGCCCUGGGCGAGGUUAGAAGUUUUCCUCUUAACCGGGGCCCAGCAGCACUUCCUGCCUGGCUCCGCUCCACGCCCCGCACACAGCUGCCUCCUUUACAAUCAGUUAACAGCUGUUUUGCAUAGAUUUUCAAUUCUAAUUGCCUCGCUUUGUGAGUGCCGCCGAGCCCCGUGAAUGGGGACGCCCAGGCGCACGGCUGGAAGGCGGGUGGGGAGGGGGCACUCAAGGGGAGAAGAAGGGAACCAGUGUGUGCGGGGCUGCCGGCUUUCUUGCCGCUCAAUAGGAGGAGAAAGCCCUGCCACCAACUGCCCCGGGCCCUGCCUCUCCCCAGCCAGCCCCGCUGCAUGUGCCCGGGCCCUCCGCCCUACAACCUGGGCUCCCCGCCACUCAGAUGCUGCUGCAUCAAGGGACGGUCCCGGCGCAGCUCAGAACCGGCCUAGGCGCGCCCCCACCCCUGCAGCCCCCCAGGCUCCGGUACCCAGAUAUGGGAAGCUAAUUGGACAAUAAACUUGAGCAGCGAGGAACUGUGCUCUCUGGAGACAGCUGGCAUCUAUAAAAGAGAAAUAUUUGCAUUUAAACCCUUUAAACUAUAUAGCUGGGCUGGGAAACCUGGCCAGAUUUCCCUACUGUCAACAUUUGUGACGGAAAGCCGAGAGGGAACACGUCCCGAGUGGUCUUAUUUUAGCAGGCUUUUAUAAAACUGCAGCGCACUCAGAAUCCUCGGCACUGGGCCGUCUAUCUGGAAGCCCUCAGCCUGGCUUCAAGGGCACGGGGCACAAACGCCAGCAGGCUCCCAGAUGCUCCCAACGUGACAACGGCCUUCACAGCUCCCCGCUCGGCUGUCGCCUCUCGGCACCAACCUCUCGCCUGCGGUUCAAGAUGCUCUCCUCUCCCGGGAGCGACAGCGGCCCGGAGGACGCCCUGGGCCCAGCCAUGGCUGUCAGGCGAUGACAGCUCCCAGCCCCUCCCUGUGGCCCACAUCCAGGAGCCCCCCCACACUCCGCACAGACCUGCCUGUCUAGCAAUUUGAGCUCCAUUGAGCAGAGCCCAGCUCAGAGUUCUAUUCCUAGCUCUGCCAGCAGGCUGUCUGUGACCUUGGGAAGUCCCCGCCAUGCUCUGGGCACUCCAUUCGCACCCCAAGGGAGCACCUUGGAGGCUGAGGAAGGUGCUGUUCACCUGCGCCUGGUGUCCUCACGCUACGAACGCCUGAGGCCGCCUUUGGGAUCCAGAGAGCCAAGGGCAGCCGCCCAGACUUGGGCUGCACGAGGGCCCUCACCAGGCCUAGGGCGGUGAGUCGUGGAGCUUGCCCAUGGCUGGAUAACUCCCUCACCUGUACCAGGUGACAAGCCCGAGCAUCACAGAUGAGCUGACGGGGUCUCUCCCUUCCCCUCCGGCAGGAGAGAGGGCAGGUUGGGCCCUGACAACAGCAAGGCUGGGCAGCAAGCAGGUCUCAGGCCCCUCUGCCCUCUGGGAGCCCGGUGCCCAGGUUCCAACAGUGAGAACCGCCCGGCGGACCCACAGUGUGGGUUCCUGUGCCACCUGCACCCACCCCACCCACUCCCAGGGCCGCCAGGGUUCUCAUCCUAGGACAACAGCUUGCUCUGUUGCCUGACUCACAAUGUGAUCCUCUUUUUCUUUUCCUCUUUUAAGAAUUAAUUUCAAAUUAUUUCUUCUUCCCUGACUCCCUCCUCAAAAGAAUUCGAGGCAGCAUUGCAAGCCUCUGAUAUGGAGACAUGUUUAUUAUUUUUAUGAUUUCUCCAGGAAGCGCCUGGUAACUGGAAAGGGAAUUAUAUUCAGAGAGAAUUGGGUCCCCAGUGUAAGUCAACAUUAUUCAUUUAACAACUUCUAUCGGUGCCCGGAGAUGUGAGCAGGCCUUACCCAGAGAUGUCUCCUUCGAUUACUGGGAGAUUCAAUUCACAGCAUCCAGGAAAAAUAAUUAAGGGGGGGCGGGAGGGAGUGUGGCGGGCCCAGAGGUGCUGUGGAUCCCCGGGUGACAAGGCUCCUGGUGAGGGCCCACGGGCUUUGUCACCAACCCCAUGUCCCCGGGGCCACAUGGACUCAAUCAGGGACUGCAAAGUGGACAAGGGGACCAUGCCUUGAAGCCACGCAGCUGAGCCAGCAGCCCCAGCCAGGCGCCCUCCAUACACACUCAGGGACACUUCGGAGCUGGCCCGGGGGGCUGGGGUCCGACAGGAGGCAGCUGUCCCUGCUCAGUGUCUGGAGUGUGGACUCCGCGCCAGCAGUAUCAGGAGGGCCCACGAGCGCUUUCAUGUGCACUGCGUGGGGACAGACAGCACAGAGGUGGCUACUGGGGGUGCCUGGGAAAGUUGACGCCCACAGACAGGCCAGCCGGGGCCUGGGACGGGCCCACAGGGCCAGGAGGCAGCUGCCAGAACCUUCCGGGCCGUCUUUCUCGAGCUCUUCAGAGAGAGGAGUAAAGGAGCUCGGGCGGGGGAGUGAAAGACGGAGAGAGACAGAAGCUUCUCCCAGCAGACUGCUUUGUUUUGUUUGAGGCAGGGUCCUGCCAUGCAGUUCGGACUGGCCAGGAGCUCACUGUGUGGCCCAGGCUGGCCUCGAGCUCGUAGUGAUCCUCCUGCUUCAGCCUCCUGAGUGCUGGGACUACAGGCGUGUGCCCUGACGGCUGGCCUAAGACUGUUCUCCAGACAGAACCAACCUCCCCUGAUGGUGCCUGGCAUCCAGAUGGGAGGAACCACAUCUCUCAGCACCAUCUCUAUGGGCCAGAGAAGUUCACAGAGAAAGCCAGGUCACAAAGCAGCACAGGCAAGGUGAAAAUUCAACUCUGAAUCCAGCUCAGGCCCCAGGCCCCGAUUGGGAGAGCGCGGAAAGACCCGCCCAGGGGCCAAUGGUGGCUGAGGGCAGCCGGACUUCACUCAUGCAGGGUCCAGCAAACUAAAUUCCCAACAGCCCGUGCGGUAGGGCUUCCUACAGUAAAGGGCUGUUCUCCAACCGAGCUGCCAAUCGAGUCCCCACGGGCACUGGAACCAGGAGCCAUGCACUUGACGUGUGGCCAGGAUGAAUGAGGAACUGAAUCUUUAAUGUUUAACUAUAAAAAUUACAUUUGAACAACCACACACAGCCAGGGGUAUCGCAUCAGACCGUGCAACAUUAGAAUCUAAAAACAACCACAUUCUCUGGGCUGAGGUUUGAGGUGUCUGGUCUGGGGGGUGGAUGUGGCCUUAUGGAGAAAACACAGCGGAACAUUUGGGACCAGGCCUCUCGGGAAGAAUCCAGAGCACAGCCAGGGUGAGUGUGGUCGGCCAGCUGCCACCAGUGAGUGUCUUGGGAAGAGGAACACUACAUAUGUCCAGGAAUGCUCCUCUCCGGGACUGUCUUAAGGCCUCAUUUCCCAAGUCACCUGCCAGACUCUGCAGGUGAGGUUAGCCAAGUCUCCUCCCCUCCGGGCGGCCACUCAAAGGCACCCUUCCUGCAUCGGGAGGCCGCCAAGUCCUGCAGUGCAACAGUUCACCUUUAGACAAGGCACGGGAACUAUGGAUAGACAUGGAUAGCUGGAUGAAUGGAGGGAGGGAGGCAGGGAAGGAGGGACUAUGGCUGGCUGGCUGGAGGAUGGAUGGAUGGGUAGAUAGGUGGGUGAUGGGUGUGUGAUGAAUGGGUGAGUGGGUGGCUGCAGGGACAAAUAAAUGGAGGGAGGGAGAGAUGAUGGAUGGAAGACGGAUGGACGGAUGGAUAGGUGGACGGAUGGGUAAGUGAUGAAUGGGUGGAUGGAUGAAUGGAUGGGUAUCUUCAUACAUGCAAGGAAGAGGGAUGAUGGAGGAGAAAGGAAG